rnacentral:rRNA from 1 species
AUUGAACGCUGGCGGCAUGCCUUACACAUGCAAGUCGAACGGCAGCGCGGGGCAACCUGGCGGCGAGUGGCGAACGGGUGAGUAAUAUAUCGGAACAUACCCUAGAGUGGGGGAUAACGUAGCGAAAGUUACGCUAAUACCGCAUACGCACUAAGGUGGAAAGUGGGGGAUUCGCAAGAACCUCAUGCUCAUGGAGUGGCCGAUAUCUGAUUAGCUAGUUGGUGAGGUAAAGGCUCACCAAGGCAACGAUCAGUAGCUGGUUUGAGAGGAUGAUCAGUCACACUGGAACUGAGACACGGUCCAGACUCCUACGGGAGGCAGCAGUGGGGGAAUAUUGGACAAUGGGCGAAAGCCUGAUCCAGCAAUGCCGCGUGAGUGAUGAAGGCCUUAGGGUUGUAAAGCUCUUUACCCGGAUGAUAAUGACAGUACCGGGAGAAUAAGCCCCGGCUAACCUCCGUAGCCAGCAGCCGCGGUAAU